rnacentral:rRNA from 1 species
GAUGAACGCUGGCGGCGUGCUUAACACAUGCAAGUCGAACGGUGAACACGGAGCUUGCUCUGUGGGAUCAGUGGCGAACGGGUGAGUAACACGUGAGCAACCUGCCCCUGACUCUGGGAUAAGCGCUGGAAACGGCGUCUAAUACUGGAUAUGUGACGUGACCGCAUGGUCUGCGUUUGGAAAGAUUUUUCGGUUGGGGAUGGGCUCGCGGCCUAUCAGCUUGUUGGUGAGGUAAUGGCUCACCAAGGCGUCGACGGGUAGCCGGCCUGAGAGGGUGACCGGCCACACUGGGACUGAGACACGGCCCAGACUCCUACGGGAGGCAGCAGUGGGGAAUAUUGCACAAUGGGCGCAAGCCUGAUGCAGCAACGCCGCGUGAGGGAUGACGGCCUUCGGGUUGUAAACCUCUUUUAGCAGGGAAGAAGCGAAAGUGACGGUACCUGCAGAAAAAGCGCCGGCUAACUACGCG